rnacentral:rRNA from 1 species
AAAGUUCUUUUAUUUAGGAAAAAAAGCUUGAGAGGAAAUGAUUAAGCCUUGAUUGUACUAAAUGAAUAAGUGACAGCUAACUAUGUGCCAGCAGCUGCGGUAAAACAUAGGUCACGAGCAUUAUCCGGAUUUAUUGGGCGUAAAGGAAGCGUAGGCGGACAAAUUGAUCUAUUGUUAAAGGCACUUGCUCAACGAGUUGUUUGUGAUAGAUAUCGUUUGUCUAGAAUUAGUUAGGAGAUACUGGAAUUCAAUGUGUAGCGGUGGAAUGCGUAGAUAUAUUGAGGAACACCAGAGGCUAAGGCGAGUAUCUAGGACAUAAUUGACGCUGAGGCUUGAAAGCGUGGGGAGCAAAUGGGAUUAGAUACCCCAGUAGUCCACGCCGUAAACGAUGGGUAUUAGGUAUUUGGUUUAGGACUGAGUGCUGUAGCUAACGCGUUAAAUACCCCGCCUGGGUAGUAUAUAUGCAAAUAGAUAAAAAA